rnacentral:tRNA from 1 species
AGCAAUGUGGUGUAGUGGUUUGAGUGUUGGACUGUGACUCUGGAGACCAGGGUUCAAAUCCCCACUCAGCCA